GGGGGCGUGGCCCAGCCAGGUUAGGGCGGCGGGCUCCAGACCCGUAGGUCGUGGGUUCAAAUCCCACCGCCCCCACCA
rnacentral:tRNA from 1 species